AAUUAUAUAUUUUAUUUGAAUUACAUAAGAAAUAGUAUAGUAUAAAAGUGAUGUCAUAAUAUUUUUUAAUGUUUUUACUAUUUGGAUAUAAUGCUGCAUUGGAUUGACUUUGUUUAAAAAUGUUAUUUUUAUAAUAAAUACAACAUAUGUAGUUUUUAAGUAAAUGUAAAAUUUGUAUACGAGUUGUUUUGGUAAGAAACAUGUUUCCUUUGUAUUAGAAGAUUUAAUUUUUGGCCUAACUUAGAAUUAUUCUUUGUAUAAUAUUUUGGUUAUAUUUGUGGAUCUAAUUGGAUCCUAUAUUAGAUUAUCUUUGAUAGGGCUCACGAAAAAACGGACCCGAUAACCAAUCCAAUAUCCGAACCAAAAAACCGGGUUAGAGCGGGUUAGAAUUUUAGGAAAUUUCCUUAUUGGGUAGAGUUUUAUUAAACCCGUGGAUAUCCGAUUGGUCCAGAAAUUACCCGUUACCCAAAAAGGGUAUUCAAAAACCCAAACAUUAAUUUAAUAUCU
rnacentral:sRNA from 1 species